UACGGAGGGUGCGAGCGUUGUCCGGAAUCACUGGGCGUAAAGGGCGCGUAGGCGGCUCAUGAAGGCUGUGGUGAAAGUCCGGGGCUCAACCUCGGAUCGGCCGUGGCGACUCGUGGGCUGGAGCACUGUAGAGGCGGGUGGAAUUCCGGGUGUAGCGGUGGAAUGCGUAGAGAUCCGGAAGAACACCAGUGGCGAAGGCGGCCCGCUGGGCAGUGGCUGACGCUGAAGCGCGACAGCGUGGGGAGCAAACGAGGA
rnacentral:rRNA from 1 species